AGGUUGGCAGACUUCAGUUCUCAUGGACACAUGAGAACUUUAUACUCACGAUGUUUUUAAAACAGAUCAAGACUCAACAAGAGGCUGGCUUCCCAGACUUGUGCCAGUGAGAUCCUGCCCAGACGAUGAACUAAAGCCUGCUGGCUAACCCCAGCAGCCAGUAACCGGAGUGCCACGCACUGAACAUGCAAGAUAAAAAGUGAUACCUCAUCUAAACUAACCACAAGAAAGUCAAUCAGAUGGAUGCAUGGCUAUCAGGAUUCUGUGCUGUCUCCCAGCAGCAAAGACACCUGAUCCAAGCUGGUCUGCUGUUUAUACCUAUUCCUAUUGAAGGAAUCCUAUUUCCGCUGGGCUCAUGAAAGCAAAGCUUUGUAUUCUCCCUACUGGACAGAGUUUAGGAGCCCAGAUCCUGGAACUUCAAUGAAGGUGAUGAGGACUGUCCCUAACUCAAGUCGGCCCCGCCUUCUCUAAGGUGAGCUGACCUGGCCUCGACCAUAUUAUCUAGGAACUCACUGAAUUCUGCCUCACAUGUCAGAGCACCCCUGAUAGCUGCAUAUUCCCCCCCUCAGAGUUCCCUAAGGGACUUCUGCACAUAAUGGCCUUUCUCACUGAGAAGGCUGCUAGGGGGUAGUGUAUCUGAAAUACUUACAGUCCAAUGCUCUCUCUGGUCCUCCACCAUCUGUCCACACCCAUUCCUUGUUCCUUGGUUGUGAAUCCCUCUUCAACAUCUGGCUAGAAAUGAGCAUUGCCACAUUCUCUCACACAGAUAUGAGCCAGACCUAAGUCUGCCACUCAGAAGGCACAAGAUGACAGCCCAGGUAGCCUCCAAACUUCCUUGUAUGGUAGGGGUUAAUUAUGGCUCAAGCCCAGGGUCAUGGGGAGAGGCUCUGAGUACUCUGGACCAGGUUACCCUCCAUCAUCACUAAUGGAGGCCAAAGGCUAGCAAAUUCAUUGAAAGCUUGCCGUGUUCCUGAUGGGACUGACCUACUAUGUACCUCAAUGGAUAAGCAGUCCUGACCCCUGUAACCAGAUCUCUCUGGCUGAGACACCUUUCUUAGUAGAUACCAGCAGGUAAAGUACAUGUAUGUUUCAUAGGGCUGCCGGGUCGAAAGUUGUAUACAGGGCCUACUGGCUACAGAGGGCUGGGGGUU
rnacentral:lncRNA from 1 species